UGCUUUCAGUGCCUUUCCGAAGGGAAAGGGUAAAAGGGAAUCAGGUGUGAAUCCUGAGCGAUCCGGUCACUGUGAGCGGGGAGGGAGCGCUACAUAUGCCAUUGCGCCUUAUCGGCGUGAGAAGGCGGCGGUCUCCCGGUGAUCCGCAAGUCAGGAAACCUGCUGCAGAGC
rnacentral:ncRNA from 1 species